rnacentral:tRNA from 1 species
UCCCCAGUAGCUCAGUUGGUUAGAGCAUUCGACUGUUAAUCGAAGGGUCGUAGGUUCAAGUCCUACCUGGGGAG